rnacentral:rRNA from 1 species
GUUGGGAAUCUUGCGCAAUGGGGGAAACCCUGACGCAGCGACGCCGCGUGCGGGAUGACGGUCUUCGGAUUGUAAACCGCUUUUCUCGGGGACGAUAAUGACGGUACCCGAGGAAUAAGCCCCGGCUAACUCCGUGCCAGCAGCCGCGGUAAGACGGAGGGGGCUAGCGUUGUCCGGAAUUACUGGGCGUAAAGCGCUCGUAGGCGGUCGCAUACGGCGGUGGUGAAAGCUCCCGGCUCAACUGGGAGAGGCCCGCCGCAACGGUGUGACUCGAGGGUGGUAGAGGCAGAUGGAAUUCCUGGUGUAGCGGUGAAAUGCGUAGAGAUCAGGAGGAACACCCGUGGCGAAGGCGAUCUGCUGGGCCACACCUGACGCUGAGGAGCGAAAGCUAGGGGAGCGAACGGGAUUAGAAACCCUUGUAGUCC